GCCUAAAGCGUCCGUAGCCUGAUCUAUAAGUUUCCGGUUAAAUCCACAUGCUCAACAUUUGGGCUGCCGGAAAAACUGUAGAUCUAGGGAGUGGGAGAGGUAGACGGUACUCGAUAGGAAGGGGUAAAAUCCUUUGAUCUAUUGAUGACCACCAGUGGCGAAGGCGGUCUACCAGAACACGUUCGACGGUGAGGGAUGAAAGCUGGGGGAGCAAACCGGAUUAGAUACCCGGGUAGUCCCAGCUGUAAACGAUGCAGACUCGGUGAUGCAUUGGCUUGUGGCCAGUGCAGUGCCGCAGGGAAGCCGUUAAGUUUGCCGCCUGGGAAGUACGUACGCAAGUAUGAAACUUAAAGGAAUUGGCGGGGGAGCACCACAAGGGGUGAAGCCUGCGGUUCAAUUGGAGUCAACGCCAGAAAUCUUACCCGGAGAGACAGCAGAAUGAAGGUCAAGCUGGAGACUUUACCAGACAAGCUGAGAAGUGGUGCAUGGCCGUCGCCAGCUCGUGCCGUGAGAUGUCCUGUUAAGUCAGGUAACGAGCGAGAUCCCUGCCUCUAGUUGCCACCAUUACUCUCAGGAGUAGUGGGGCGAAUUAGCGGGACCGCCGCAGUUAAUGCGGAGGAAGGAAAGGGCUACGGCAGGUCAGUAUGCCCCGAA
rnacentral:rRNA from 1 species